CCCUUAUAUGUCCUGGGCUGCACGCGUGCUACACUGAUGCAUACAACAAGUUCCUAGCCCGUCAGGGUGUGGUAAUCUCGAAUAUGCAUCGUGAUGGGGAUUGAACUUUGCAAUUAUAGUUCAUGAACGAGGAAUUCCUAGUAAAUGUAAGUCAUCAUCUUACAUUGAUUAUGUCCCUGCCCUUUGUACACACCGCCCGUCGCUCCUACCAAACCGGUUGAUGUGGUGAACACAUUGGACUCUCCGGAGGAAGAUUUGUAAACCUUAUCAAUACGAGGAAGGAGAANUCGUAACA
rnacentral:rRNA from 1 species